UACGUAGGGUGCAAGCGUUGUCCGGAAUUAUUGGGCGUAAAGAGCUCGUAGGCGGUCUGUCGCGUCUGCUGUGAAAACUCAGGGCUUAACCCUGAGCUUGCAGUGGGUACGGGCAGACUAGAGUGCGGUAGGGGAGACUGGAAUUCCUGGUGUAGCGGUGAAAUGCGUAGAUAUCGAGAGGAACACCAGUGGCGAAGGCGAGUCCCUGGACAACACCUGACAGCUGAGGCACGAAAGCCCGGGGGAGCAAACAGG
rnacentral:rRNA from 1 species